GACGUAGGGCGCGAGCGUUGUCCGGAUUUAUUGGGCGUAAAGAGCGUGUAGGCGGUUUGGUAGGUCCGCUGUGAAAACUCGAGGCUCAACCUCGAGACGCCGGUGGAAACCAUCAGACUAGAGUCCGGAAGAGGAGAGUGGAAUUCCUGGUGUAGCGGUAAAAUGCGCAGAUAUCAGGAAGAACACCCGUGGCUAAGGCGGCCCUCUAGUACGGUACUGACGCUGAGACGCGGAAAGCGUGGGGAGCGAACAGG
rnacentral:rRNA from 1 species